UACGGGGGGGGGCAAGCGUUUGUUCGGAAUUACUGGGCGUAAAGGGCUCGUAGGCGGCCAACUAAGUCAGACGUGAAAUCCCCAGGCUCAACCUGGGAACUGCGUCUGAUACUGGAUGGCUUGAAUCCGGGAGAGGGAUGUGGAAUUCCAGGUGUAGCGGUGAAAUGCGUAGAUAUCUGGAGGAACACCGGUGGCGAAGGCGGUUCUCUGGGCAUGAUCUGACGCUGAGGAGCGAAAGUGUGGGGAGCGAACAGG
rnacentral:rRNA from 1 species